CAGGCAGCUUCUGAGUAUCUCUAAGGAGGAGGCUUCACAGUCUCUGGGCAGUUUUGUGCUAGUGCUCUGGCGACCUAUGAAGCACUGAAGUGCUUUCUGGUGUUCAGAGGAAACUACUGUCUGCCACUGGGCACCAGAGAGAACAGCCUGGCUCUGUCCUCUUUGCACAAUUCUCUCUAGGAGCAAUGGAUGAUGCACUGAUGGUGUUCCUCUGAGCCUUCUCUCCCAGCUGAGCAGCCCCAGUCCCUUCCUCAUCGGGGAAGAGCUGCAGUCCCUUGAUCAAAGGCUCUGCCACCUCCACCUCACUGGGACCGUCGCAGAGGAUUUGCCUGGAGGAUGGCACUUCUGGCCCAGGUCACGUGAGGAGCGUCUCCAAGCUGCAGGUACAGCUGACUGCGUGCAUUUGAAGCGCUUCAGGCAUCCUUCACAGAGCCCCAUGCCUUGCCUACCAGCACUCUGCAAGGAGGAUGGAUCAGAAACUUUGAGCUGAGUGCCUGUUCAAAGAGAAUGAAGCAGACUUGCCAGCCAGCCCCUGGGUUACCUCCUUUCAUGGCAGAGAAGCACAAGAGGCGAACUCCACAGUUCCUGUGCAAGUGGGAUUUGCUCCAUCACAAAGACCUGGAUUAACUCAGUUUCAUGCCGUGCAGACUUGCAUGAAUGCAUCCACAUCUGAAAAGUGGCCCAAGGAAAGCUGAAAGCAAGCAGGGGCUCUUCCAACUGUUUUCACCUCUAU